CAGCGUCACCCUGGCAACACAGUGAAAUCACCGGCACUAGCUCGUUACAGGCUGAGCGGCCACACCUGCAGCUCGUUAAGCGGCGUCUACUUAAGCCGGGAAGGAAAGCAGUGUCGGGNGAGCAAUGUCCCCGACGCAGACACUAACUCUUUCCUCCUCUGUUAUAGAGAGCAGCGUGUGACCGUCAGCCCCAACCAGGAGAGCAAAGCACGGGAUCCACCACUCAAGGCACAGAGAGCACGAGGGAGUUGGAGCACGACGGCGAGCACCGUUUUCACUCAGAGCACAAAGUUUUCAAUAAAUCCACCCUUCGGGGAUUUUCUCUGUCUAUCGGUUGUCGUGUAGUUCCUCCCCUCGCCACACUAUACAUAUCUAUGGUCUACACUGUAUUGUAUUGUAUUACGUAUUGACACAAAUUUCAAAUGAUUUUCAAAUGUCGCAUUGUUGCGUCCAGUGUACUAGACAGACUUUAGUUGUUACGGCGCAGACACGGUGUUACUCACCUAUCGAGAAGUAACAAAGCAACCUUGGCAUCCGAUCACAGGUCUUCCACUCCUUGAGUUCUCUCCAGCGCCGGCAAGGUAAUCCGAUAUUUACAUGGGUCUUACUUCUUGCCUUAUUGCCUUAAGCCUUCUUUUGUUCCGCAGACAUUUUCCUCUUUUGUUUUUUAUCCGCCAUCUCUAUCUUUCUGUCACUCGGCUCAGCUUAUGUUCGUCAUGUGCACUGAACGCUCUCUCUUCCACAAAAUGAGUAGACACGCCCCUUUCUGCUGAUUGCUACAAGUUUGUUUUGCUACUCGGCCUGAAUCAGUUUUCUAAAGCAUUUUUUGAAAAAUUGCUUACCCCACCUUUACCAUGAAAAAUAUUUAACAUUCCUUUAUGUACUAAGAUAGUGAUAAAAAAAAAAAGAUCAAAUUCAAUAUACACAUUACUGGUGAAGCAUACUUUAUACAGGCAAGAAGAUGAAUCCGAAAUAUGAACACAACAUGCUGAAUUGGUAAAAAAAAAAAAAAAAAAAAACGCUUGUGUGAAAUUCAUUCAUACUCUGGAUGCAUCUGUUUGUCCAUAUUUAGUAUGUAUCAAUGUAUACUGAAUUUGAAUAUUUUAAUAUAGGCCUAUGUCUUAGUACAUU
rnacentral:lncRNA from 12 species